ACUCCUGCGGGAGGCAGCAGUGGGGAAUAUUGCACAAUGGGCGCAAGCCUGAUGCAGCCAUGCCGCGUGUAUGAAGAAGGCCUUCGGGUUGUAAAGUACUUUCAGCGGGGAGGAAGGCGAUAAGGUUAAUAACCUUGUUGAUUGACGUUACCCGCAGAAGAAGCACCGGCUAACUCCGUGCCAGCAGCCGCGGUAAUACGGAGGGUGCAAGCGUUAAUCGGAAUUACUUGGCGUAAAGCGCACGCAGGCGGUCUGUCAAGUCGGAUGUGAAAUCCCCGGGCUCAACCUGGGAACUGCAUUCGAAACUGGCAGGCUAGAGUCUUGUAGAGGGGGGUAGAAUUCCAGGUGUAGCGGUGAAAUGCGUAGAGAUCUGGAGGAAUACCGGUGGCGAAGGCGGCCCCCUGGACAAAGACUGACGCUCAGGUGCGAAAGCGUGGGGAGCAAACAGGAUUAGAUACCCGAGUAGUCCCAUGAU
rnacentral:rRNA from 1 species